GGGGGGGGCAGAUAUAUGUAGCUCACUGUACACGACACAGGGCAAAGGAAAUCCGUGUUCAGCAACUAUGUUAAAUGCCAUGUACGUAAAUUUUACAACGCUACUCGUUCGAAGCGCGCACAGGUGCAUAUUGAAGAAAAGUUUCCAGGGUAGAUAAUUUAGUUCGUAAUUUACACUAAUUUUGCUCUAACCACGAGACAUAAUAAUUUGAAUAUACUGCACGGAAAAACCUAGAGCGAAUUAAAUUGUGUCAGCUUCGUGUGUAUACAUAUAGUCCUUCCUAUGCAUCAGGUUUUUUGCGUAAUGCAUUAACAGUUGACAGCCUAUCUUAUGAUGUGUACUCUGUUUACAUUACAGUUGUUUAUUAGUUUACUCGUUUGUUUUGCGACUGAUGAAAUGCCGGCAUAUAUAUAUUUUCAACAUUUGACAUAACCCUGGAUGUUUUGCAGGGACAACCCAGGACGUGCAUAUCUCAGCACCCAGUCAACUGCCAAAAGUGACUCAAACACAGGCCACCAGUGGAACUCGGCUGUACCACUGCAGUGCUGCGGAAAUUGCCUUCACCAGCGGCUUUGCAACAGCUGUUUCACAGCAUGUCGGAGACAAUGCCUACGAAAUUAUUGGCCCUGAUCAUGAGAGCCCUCAAGGGGCAAACAACAUCUCUGUUGCAGAAGUGAGCCCGGUACCACUUGGAAGUUACCAUGACAGAUGACACGGCAGCAAUAGAUACAGAGACUGCCACGUCUACUGCAGCUGCAACAGUGUACGAGGCAAGCAGCAGCGCGUCAGCAUCAGCAGCAGUGUCAGAAGGAACCACACCAGGCCUGGUAGAGCAACAUGUGUGCUAUCACUGACUUUUUUUGUAGUGGAUACAACUCAUUUGCUCAACAUACAAAAGCUUUUCACCACGACUGUGAGCCAGUGUUAUUGUGCAGCAAGUGCAAGACUAAGUUAGGUGUUAUAACACAGUACAAGCAUCACUUUAAUAUAUGCAAAUGCAAACAUAUUACAGUUGUUGCCUCCCCAGCCAGCCCACAUAGUGACAACAAUGUGAAACACAUGGUGGGACACACCUCUCCCCCAUUACAAGAUAGUAGAGACUGUCAGUGUUGUUGCUAGAUUGACUGGUCUUUGUAGGCAACUAGAAGGACAACACAGGUGUCAUAAGAUUGUUGAUGUUGUUGAAGAGGUAAAAAAGAAGUUUGAUGCAGCUGAAGUGCCAACUGAUAUUGAGCAAAUCAAAAGCAACCACCUGAGAAAGCAACACUAUCGAAAUUUGGGUAUCUAUGUGCCGCCAACUCUGGUAAGAAUGGCAUAGGACAGAAGUGUGAUGAAAAUCACACAGACACUGCUGUUGCAUCACUGGCCACAGUGAGCAGCGACUUGUAAGGCAAGAGAGUCAACUGAAACUAACAUUAUGAUAUAGUGUCAUG
rnacentral:lncRNA from 1 species